rnacentral:rRNA from 1 species
UACGGGGGGGGCAAGCGUUGUUCGGAAUUACUGGGCGUAAAGGGCGCGUAGGCGGCCUUCUAAGUCAGACGUGAAAUCCCUCGGCUUAACCGGGGAACUGCGUCUGAUACUGGAUGGCUUGAAUCCGGGAGAGGGAUGCGGAAUUCCAGGUGUAGCGGUGAAAUGCGUAGAUAUCUGGAGGAACACCGGUGGCGAAGGCGGCAUCCUGGACCGGCAUUGACGCUGAGGAGCGAAAGCCAGGGGAGCAAAGCGGG